rnacentral:rRNA from 1 species
AUUGAACGCUGGCGGUAUGCUUAACACAUGCAAGUCGAACGGUAACAGGUCUAGCUUGCUAGAUGCUGACGAGUGGCGGACGGGUGAGUAACGCGUAGGAACCUGUCUAUGAGAGUGGGACAACUCGGGGAAACUCGAGCUAAUACCGCAUACGUUCUGAGGAAGAAAGGCUGGAGUAAUCCAGUCGCUCAUAGGGGGCCUGCGUUGGAUUAGCUAGUUGGUGGGGUAAAGGCCUACCAAGGCGACGAUCCAUAGCUGUUCUGAGAGGAAGAUCAGCCACACUGGGACUGAGACACGGCCCAGACUCCUACGGGAGGCAGCAGUGGGGAAUAUUGGACAAUGGGCGCAAGCCUGAUCCAGCAAUACCGCGUGUGUGAAGAAGGCCUGAGGGUUGUAAAGCACUUUCAGCGAGGAGGAAGGUAGUGGUGGUUAAUAGUAUCACUAUUUGACGUUACUUGCAGAAGAAGCACCGGCUAACU